rnacentral:ribozyme from 1 species
AAGAUCGUGGCGCGGCAUCGUGCUCUGCAGGGUACCAUGGCUGCUCAGGUCAGCAAGAAGAGGAAGUUCGUCGCGGAUGGCGUC